GGGCGAGUAGCUCAGUCCGGUUAGAGCGCGAAGCUUAUACCUUCGUGGUCGCAGGUUCGAAUCCUGCCUCGCCCACCA
rnacentral:tRNA from 2 species